GAGCUUGCUCUUCUUGGAUGAGUUGCGAACGGGUGAGUAACGCGUAGGUAACCUGCCUUGUAGCGGGGGAUAACUAUUGGAAACGAUAGCUAAUACCGCAUAACAAUGGGUGACACAUGUCAUUUAUUUGAAAGGGGCAAUUGCUCCACUACAAGAUGGACCUGCGUUGUAUUAGCUAGUAGGUGAGGUAACGGCUCACCUAGGCGACGAUACAUAGCCGACCUGAGAGGGUGAUCGGCCACACUGGGACUGAGACACGGCCCAGACUCCUACGGGAGGCAGCAGUAGGGAAUCUUCGGCAAUGGGGGCAACCCUGACCGAGCAACGCCGCGUGAGUGAAGAAGGUUUUCGGAUCGUAAAGCUCUGUUGUAAGUCAAGAACGAGUGUGAGAGUGGAAAGUUCACACUGUGACGGUAGCUUACCAGAAAGGGACGGCUAACUACGUGCCAGCAGCCGCGGUAAUACGUAGGUCCCGAGCGUUGUCCGGAUUUAUUGGGCGUAAAGCGAGCGCAGGCGGUUUGAUAAGUCUGAAGUUAAAGGCUGUGGCUCAACCAUAGUUCGCUUUGGAAACUGUCAAACUUGAGUGCAGAAGGGGAGAGUGGAAUUCCAUGUGUAGCGGUGAAAUGCGUAGAUAUAUGGAGGAACACCGGUGGCGAAAGCGGCUCUCUGGUCUGUAACUGACGCUGAGGCUCGAAAGCGUGGGGAGCGAACAGGAUUAGAUACCCUGGUAGUCCA
rnacentral:rRNA from 1 species